CAUAAUGUAUGUACAGUAUGUACUUAAGAAUUUAAAGCGUUUAUAUGACUUUGUUUAUGAUGGAUACCAAAGUGUUUGCAAUAUUUUUAUUUUGUGCAUGUAUUAACUCUUUCGAUGAUACACUGGAUGACUUCCGAAAGCAUUAUGGAUUGAGUUAUUAUUCGCGCUGCAAGGUUUACGAAAAGGUUUUCAAAUGUCUGACGGCUUGCAAAAGUAUGGGAUUCAAGAUAUUUCGCAUGGAUCACAAUUGUACGUGUACAUGUCACGAUAUGAAGUCGGCCACCGUCGGAUUGCCGUAUCUCAAGUGGAAGACAACACGUGUCACCAGAAAAAUACCAAGAACAUUCCGUCCGUCUCUAUGGCACGUUGUAGGCACGAAAUCACCAGCAGUUGAAAUUGAAAAUGUUACUGAAAGCAUUGACUCGAAUGUAACAAACUUCAAUGAUACAGACACUACUAUUGAUAUGCUUUCUUCUAACAUCACCACCGAUGAUAGUACUACUGAUAGUACUCCUGACAGCAGUACUACUGAUGACAGUUCUUCUUCUGCAGCUCCUGCUACCUAGUCAGUAGGACCUUAAAGUUUAUAUGUACAAAAGAUGUCCUUAAACAUCAAUAUUAACAUAAUUAUUACAUCAUUUGGUAUUGUAAA